CCUACGCAAGCGGCAACCCCAGUUUGAGAAACACUGAGCUAGAGGUUUUAUUCCCUAACACAGGAUUCUACUCCAUCUCAUGCACUGUCAACACAAACGUUUGCCAAGUUCCAAUCAUCUAGACCUGUGUAAACCCAGUGAAGGCAAUGGGACUGCACAGAGAUCCCCGAGACAAUGGGGGUGCACAACUGUCCGUGAGCACUUUCUGAACCUUGGGCAUGGGUGAUGGUGUGCGGGAUGAAAGAAACCAGCCUGACUGUCAGAGAAACAGCUUCUUACCUUACACUGAGCACAAUCGAAAUGCGACAGGGAGACACAGUGAGCAUGGAGCAUUUUUCCAAAAUCACCUUUCAGAGCAGCACCAGGCUUUAUGCAAAACCAGAGUGCAAACACAGCGCUUCAUUUGUAUGCUCCAGGUUCAGUGACUAGCUUUAUUACAGAUAUGAGCUGGCCGCUUCCACGCAUCAUUGGCGAUAUUUAAAUGUCAUAAAUUCUGCUCAGGGCAAACCCCAUCUGCAGUGCCCCACUCACUUCGGAGCACCGUCCCAUCUUGUGAGUCAGCGAGGAGAGAGCAGUUUCAAAAGCCAUUGCUUGAAACAAAGACCAAUUCAGUUAGAACCCCCUUUCUGAAGUUCAUUGGAAACAAGAAUCUGAUUCUGACCUCAUGCUGUACUGGGGAAAAAGAGGAGUAAAUCUGCACAAUAAAUCUGGUGAGAGAUGAGGAUCUGACCCUCUCCAACUGAAAAUGUAUUGUGUAUUGGAUUAUUACCCACUCUAGGUAAUAUGAGUGUAUGAUUUUAAUUACAUCGUGGUGCACCAUCAAACCUGUAAUAGGACAAGGAUUGUUUGCUAUGGAGCAGUGAAAUGACAUGAAGGCUAAAAGGAACUGCUUCCUGAAGCUGCCUUUAUUUCUGGAAGAUGCCCACAGUGUUCAGGCUGUAUCAGGCUGCUGUACUCGCUAACAUGGAGAACAGGGCUCUGGGUGCAGUCACAGCUGCAUGCACAUAUGACAAUAUCUUUGGGUACGUCUCCAUGGCAGCCAUAGGGUUGAGCUGCAGUUUGUGUAGACGUACUCACGCUAGCUGUACUCUAGCUCGCUCACUAAAAAUAGCAGUGAGGGCGUUGUGCCAUGGCGGGGGAGGGGUAGAUGGGGUUGUGCAACUCGCACUGAAGCCUGUGCUGCUAUUUUUUAUUGAGCAAGUCAGAUUAAAGCUGGCGCUGGUAUGUCUACGUCAGUUGCCAUUCAUGACCUCAGCUGCAGUAUAGAUGCAUCACUAGUAGAUGGCAAAAGAGGAGUCAAUUCAUUUGAGGGGCUAGACAGAUGAGAGGAUCAAUAAGGGGCACAGAGCUCUGGAUCAUGAGACAGUCAUUAGCACCCACCUUAGCUUUAUUCGAUCAGUCACCAACCGCCCUCUGGAGGGAUCGCCACAUGUUAGAGGAUGGGCACAUUGGAGGUGCUGCAUUGGGGAAACUUGCUGUGUGGAUAAGCAAAAGUGCCAGUGGCCAAUGCUGAUGAUCUGGCUUUCUUUUUUGAAUGCUAAACUCACUUUAAUAAAGAGACGUAAUUCAUGUUCACCAUGACCCAUACUUCCUGCUUCUUGCCCUGGCUGCAAGUAGUCAUACAGAGAUUAAUGCUGAUGGCUUGGUCUCUGUUCUAUUGUUUGGGACAGAAAUGUAUUGUCUAUGGAUAUGCAUGGACAAAAAAUUUUUUAAGCAACUAAUGAUUGUGGGUGCCUAAAUAUUUGGAUGCUGAACUUUAGAUACCAUACAUGGACCAAAUUUUCAGCCUGCGUCAAGCACUCACCCACUGGAAAUCAAGCUGCUUUGCCAUGUCUCAGGUCAGACAUCCCAAAAAUAGAGGUACCUGAUAUAUUUGCCACUGGACUUAAUAUCCCUGGAAACAGGUGGGAAAAGGAGGGCACCACUCCCCCACUCCUAUGCCCCCUCCAAAAAGCGCAUGUGAAAUGCCCAGUAUUUCUUCUUCUUUUGAUGCCUGGCCACGCCAGGUACUCUCACUUAUUGUUUUUAAGCACUGACAAUAUACUUGGAGCUUACGUGGCACAAAAUGAAGGUCGCUCUUGCCCCAGUGACACUUUUACAAACAGAGAAGAUGGACACUGGGAAGAUCAGCGGCAGGAGGAACUUGGAGUGAUGGAUUCUGUGUGAUUUGUUUCCAUGUCUUUUGGGCAUCAAGGCAGAAGUGAGUCCAUAGACAGUAGCUGGAGGAUCCAGGGAUGCUAAUGCAGCACUUUUCACCAACACUUAAUAUUAAAAUCAUUAUUAGGUAUCCAUGAAUCAGCAGGAAGCAACAACAAAUGAGUGCAGUGGAAGGGUAUCGAAACAUACCAGACUUUUGGGGGUUCAUUCAGUGUGUCCACUUCUAAUCAUAGAAAGGAAAUAAAGUCCAAUGAUUUUCAUUCAUUCUGUGGAAGAGCUAAACGCAGUUUAAUCAGCCCCAGAUCUAUUCCAUUGUCCUUUUCAUCAAGCAGGUUUUGGGUAUAAUGAAGAUAUGACACACACGAGUGCUGGCAAGGGAGACUGGUUGCAUUUUCUUUUGGCUGGGGUUAGGAAGUAAUGUCAUGUGGCAGGGGUCAAGACGCCACUGACUCCAAAGCUUUCUAUUACAGGGAGCUAAAUGAUAGAAUAAAAAGCAGCCCAUCUUUUUUGCCUGAUGCUAAGAACUUUGCUCAGCUGGCCAGGUAUGCAAACUAACCAGCUGGCUCCAUGGGCUCAGAAUAGGCUCCAGCUGUCUUGUUGUUAGCAUUCAAAUGAAAUUAUUCUCUCUGUUGCACUGGAGGAUUCAGAUUGCAGAUCCCAGUUUGCAGGUGCCGGGAGCGAUUUUGCUGACUCGGCCUGGUUUCCAGACAACGUGAGUAUCCUCAUCUCAAUUCAGGACCAUGAAAGGCUGGGAGUUUCUCUGAGGUAAGACAGAGCCAACGGAAAGAGGAAACUGAGUCAGAGAGGCUGGUUUGCAAACAUGCCAAGAACACACAGCUGAAGUCACUGUGCGCUGUGGGUGCUCAGAACCUCUGAAAAUCACGCCCGAAGUAUCUUACCUUAAACCACAUCAUGUAGAUCCAGAAUUAGCAUUUGAGGCUUCCUGGCUCCCAGCUCCCUGCUGCCGCCUAGAAUUUUAUAUGACCUGUGGAAUUGGCCAAAUGACAUUAUGCAGUAGCCAAAACAGACACGGAAAACAGAAUCCAGUGUUCUCCUUGGCACAUGCCCACUCUGCACUGCCUGGCAGCCUGAGGCUCCCAGGUACAAACACAUUCUGUGUUCUGCCGUCUUACAGCAGCAGGAUAACACUCCUUUGGCCAAGUCUGGUGAGCUCAGAUCUGGAGGAGGCAGGGGCCAGUGUGAGGAGGAGUGGGGGAAUGUGGGGAAAAAAACAACCCACCAAACGGAGGCAGGGUUUUUGUCUUUCAGAAGCUGCAGACGCAGGCAUCAUUCAGUGCUGUGCCACUAGGCAUACGUGACGCACUGUAACAGACCUGGCUCGGCACACUAAAUACUUAACUUUUUAACUUGUAAAAAUAAAAUGUGGUCCCACGAGGAUGAGCCUUGUUAUGCCCCAAGUUGUGGUGGGAGGGUGGCAGCAUGUGGAAAAUGUAACAACAGGGACACAAACACCGCUAGCAGUAAGAAUUAUUUUAAGACUUAUCUCACUACACUGGAAACAAGCCACACUUCAGCUCAGACCCUUUGAAGUCCAUUGAGGUUUAUCCAUGGAAGGCUGGUGAUGAGAGAGGGGGAUUUUGUAAUCAUGGCUUUUUAUCUCUGAGCUGCUGGGGGCUAGGAAGACACUUCUCCUUUGGGUAAGCUAGUCCAUAAGUAUAAUUCCUCAGGGUAGGGAGGUUAUACCUUCCUCUGAAGCAUCUGAUACUGGCCACUGCUGGAGUCUGGAUUCUAGGCUAAAUAAACCAUUAUGGCCAUCUCAACAUAUUGACGUAAUCCAAGUCUCACAAAUAGUAGGUGAAACCACGUCUCAGCCAAAAUCAUAGCUUAGGUUUUCCCGUGAGACUGACUGAGCUGCAGACUCAGUCCCAAAGAGAGCCUUGCGGUCCUUAAAUUAUCCAAAAAUCCAGAUCCAGCUCAGCUUAGUGGUGAUUUACUGACUGGGUGUCCUUGUGAAAUGAGUUUCAACCUAGCGGAUAGAUGUUCACGUCACAACGAAACACAAAGCCGUUUUGUACUAACUGGCCGCCUGAUUGGUAGUCUCAACUAGGGUGACCAGACAGUAAGUGUGAAAAAUCGGGACAGGAG